GUAGGUGGCAAGCGUUGUCCGGAAUUGUUGGGCGUAAAGCGCGCGCAGGCGGGGUCCUUUAAGUCUGAUGUGAAAGCCCACGGGCUCAACCGUGGAGGGUCAUUGGAAACUGGGGGACUUGAGUACAGAAGAGGAAAGCGGAAUUCCAAGUGUAGCGGUGAAAUGCGUAGAGAUUUGGAGGAACAACAGUGGCGAAGGCGGCUUUCUGGUCUGUAACUGACGCUGAGGCGCGAAAGCGUGGGGAGCAAACAGGAUUAGAUACCCUGGUAGUCCACGCCGUAAACGAUGAGUGCUAAGUGUUAGGGGGUUUCCGCCCCUUAGUGCUGCAGCUAACGCAUUAAGCACUCCGCCUGGGGAGUACGGCCGCAAAGGCUG
rnacentral:rRNA from 1 species